rnacentral:misc_RNA from 1 species
AAAGUCGUAACAAGGUUUCCGUAGGUGAACCUGCGGAAGGAUCAUUAAUGAAUUACAAGUCGGCUGUCUGUGCUGGUGGCAACACAUGUGCACGUCGGUCGCAAAUCCACACACCUGUGCACUUUAGACUUUGGGGUUCGCAUUCACGUGCAGUCGGUCUCCUUUGGGAGGCUUGAAUCCCAGGGUAUUUUACACACACUCUGAAUGUAAUGGAAUGUACCUGUGCUUAACCGCGCAUUUAAUACAACUUUCAACAACGGAUCUCUUGGCUCUC